AAGACUGUGCUUCACAGGAUCAUUUCUGUAGGCAAGUUUUCACCACAAGUUUUUUCCGAAAGGAAAAGAUUUCCACCCACGAUGAUGAGACAUUGUGGCCAGUUCGGAGCGUGAAACUUAGUUCGGAUUUCGCUCAAUCGAUUCAUUCGGUAGAGUAACGGACUUCUGAUGAUCGGCUUCCUUGCAAGAACUGGCCACGGUCUGACUGGU